rnacentral:lncRNA from 1 species
CCGCGCACGCUGCGCGAGCGACCACGUGCUGUCGCCGCCGCCCUGCGUGCGCGCUCUGUCCCGGCGCGGGAGCGAGCAAGCUGCGCAGAGGUAACUGCGGAGGUGAAGAGAGUGCAGGGAUCCGACGCGCAGGGUUUGAGGUAAUCUCGCUGCUGGAAGGGACCCAGAAGAUCUAAUGAGGGCGAUCCCUCAGACAGAGAGAGGGGUCCCCGCAGACUGAGAAAAGGGCCCCACAGACCUUGCAGACUAGAGAGGGGGCCCCACAGACCAAGGGAAGGAGCUGAGGGAGACCCACGGACUGGAGGCUGCGCCUGAAAGAAAAGAUCUGAAGGUUGAGACAAGCGUCCAAAAUUUUACGGAGGAUAUUGAUGAUAGACCCUCAGAGAGAGGGAGGACGACGCAGAGAUCCCGAGGACGGAUGGAAGGGACCGGGAAGAGACUCCUGUCUGAGGGAGGCCGCCUGAGUGAAAGCUGAGCGCCGGAGACGGUGGUGCCGGGAUGAAGGCGAGAGCUACGGUGUGGGCGCUGGGUUGAGGUGAAGUGAAGGAAAGGAGGUAAGAGAAGGCUGUCUCCAGGCGGAGACGGCACCUUUCUUAGCUGGUCCCUGGGAUCUGAAGAUCGAAAAGCGCUGGUCUCCGAGCCCAGGGCACUCUCAUCCUUAAGAUUCAACCCAUAAGUCAACUCCUUCCAGUAUAGGCUUAGUUUAGAUGUGUGACCCCUGGACAAUCACAGACCCCUUCUGGGGCUUACAAAGAAAACAUCGACCCAAAGCACAAAAAGGCUUUUGGGAUCUGUAAAGGGAGGCUAAGCUUAGGUCUCUUGCAACUUAAUGUGACGAUUCUGUGAAAUUUCUCAAACCUGGAAACAACCACCGCCUCUCCCGCGUUUACCUUUAUCUUCACUCUCGUCAUUUUUAGUCCCAUCUUUUAAAAAAUAGAUGGGGUUGUAGCUUCAUAGUAAAACGCUCGCCCAGCAAGCACACCCCCCCCCCCAGCACCACCAAAAGAGAGAGAGGAGGGAGAAGAAGGAAAGAAAAGAAAGCAAACUAACUCCACUCCAAAAAUUCUAGCAAGAAUACAGGACAAAACAAAAAUUCUAGCAGUCCACUGUAGUGGCGCAUCCCGUUUAUCCCAGCAAUUUAUUUAUAACCCUAGCAACUGGGGAGGCUCGAGCAGGAGGAUGGAAAGGCCAGCCUCAGCAGUUUAGCUAGAACCUAAGCAAAUUAGUGGGAUCCUAUCUCAAACACUAAGUAAAGGGAAGGGGGUGUGGCUCAGUAAAGCACCACUGGGUUCAAUUCCCGGGUCAAAAGUUUUUUAAAAUAAAAUAAAAAAAUUCUAAGUAGUAAAGAUUUUCCUCAUGACUUCUUAUUUUAGAAUACAUUGAUAUGACUGGAUAACAUUAAAAUGAAUUGCUUUUUGCUGGGCAUGCUGUCACAUCCUAAUGCCUGAAUAAACUAAGACAGGAGAAUGCAGGGUUGAGGCCAGCCUGGGCAAUUUACCAAGAUCCUGUCUUAAAAUAAAAAAUAAAAAGAGUUAGGGAUGUGUCCUCAUUACCAUCAGUUUUUUAAAAAAAUUACACACACACACACACACACAUAUAUAUAUAUAUAUAUACAUAUAUAUAUAUAUAAAACUUUCUACUGUGUUGUUUGUUCAUGAUUAACCAAGGGCAAUCAUAGUUAAUGAUGAGUUCUAAGAAGCAAACUAAAAACUAAAUUUCACCUUUUAUUUAUUUAUUUACUUAUUGAUUGAUUUCAUUCUUUUUUUGUGUGUGUGUGUGUGUGGUAAUGAAGAUGAAACCCAGGGCCUCUCAAAUGCUAGGCAGAUUCUCUACCACUAAUCCCCAGCCUUUUUUAUUUUAUUUUGAUCACAUAUUACACUUGAUCUUAGCCAAAAGGCCAAGAAGCAAUUUUUAUUUUGAGACAGGUCUUCUAAAUUGCGCAGGCUGGCCUCAGAAUCCUGCCUCAGCUUUUCAAGUAGCUGGAAUUAUAGGCAUGUACCUACCCACUGUGCUAAACUUACUCUUCAUUUUAACAAAGCAUGAGAUAAAUAAUUAAUUGCACAAACUAAAGGUGUUAAUUGUAACUGAUUCCUCAAAGCUUCCUUCUAAUUUGUGUUACAGAGUAUUGAAAUUUGUGAAUAUCUUCUGGCUCCUGAUUUUGCCCACUCAGCAAUUUGUGGAAGAUGAUCAGAAGAAAAACAAAUAGGAAUGUACAUAGGGUUAUGUAAAUAUGAAAUAACAACUAGUUUGUUGUUGUUAAAGAAACAGGAAUGUAUCCAUUUUAGGUUGCCCUUUCCCUUCAUUGUCUUGCAUUAUCUAUUUAAUUUAUUAUUGUUAUAGACAAAAGAUAUAUUUGGAAGUAAUUGGGAACUGCCAGUUUGAAAGUCACAUAGUAAAAUCUGUCAUUUUUUAUGAAUACUUAGAAGAAAAUAGAAGAUACAUUAGCCAGUUAUUAUAUAAAGAAAUAAAACAAGAACUGGGCACAGUGUCCCAUGCCUGUAAUCCCAGCAACUCCAGAGGCUGAGGCAGGAGAAUCAUGAGUUGAAAGCCAGCUCUCAGCAGGUUAGUGAGGCAUUUAGCAACUCAGCGAGACCCUGUCUCUUAAUAAAAUAUAAAAAAGGCUUAGCUGGGGAUAUGGCUCACUGGUUAAGCACCCCAGUUUCAAUCCCUGGUACCAAAAAGAAAAAACAAAAAGAGAAAUAUAACAAGCUGGGUGCCUUGGCACACACCUGCAAUCCCAGCAUCUUGGAAGGCUAAGGCAGGAGGAUCACAAGUUCAAAGCCAGCCUCAGCAACGAUGAGGUGCUAAGCAACUCAGUGAGACCCUGUCUCUAAAUAAAAUACAGAAUAGGGCUGGGGAUGAGGCUCAGUACUCGAGUGCCCCUGAGUUCAAUCUGUGGUACCUAAAAAGAAAAAAAAGAACUAUAACAAUCCAGGUGUGUUGGCACAAAUUUGAGGUCAACAUAGGCAAUUUAGUGAGAUCUGUUGCAAAAUAAAAAUAAAAAAUACUGGGGAUAUGGCUCAGUAGAGUGUCCCUGAGUUCAAUCCCCAGUACAGGAAGGAAGGAAGGAAACAAGUAAAUAGUAAGUUCUUUCAAGUAGAUAUUUCUUUAUUAUCAUAUGGAAAAUACUCUGCAAUUUUAAUUUGUGGAUUUUUUUUUCUUUCUUUUUUAUGGUGGUACUGGAAUUAAACCCAGGGCCUUACAAGGGCUCCACCACUUAGCUAUAUUCUCAGCUCUUUUCAUUUUUAAUUAAAAAAAAAAAAUGUAGUUGUAUACAGACAGAAUGCCUUUAGUUCAUUUGUUUGUUUAUAUGUAGUGGUAAAGCUCAAAUCCAGGGCCUCACAUGUGCUAGGCAAAUGCUGUGCCACUGAGCAAAACCCCAGCCCUUUAAUUUUUAAUUUUGAGAUACAAUCUUGAUAAGUUGUCCAAGCUAGCCUUGAACUGGUGAUCCAUCCUCCUUAACUCCCUGAGUAGUUAGGAUUAUAGGGAUGUACCAAGAGACCCAGCAGUAGAUUUUUUUAGUCAUUUUAAGUUUAUAUAAAAUUUGGGCAGGGGCUGGGGCUCAGCGGUAGAGUGCUUGCCUGGCACAUGUGAGGCACUGGGUUCAAUCCUCAGCACUGCAUAAAAAUAAAUAAAUAAAAUAAAAGUAUUUUGUCUUUUUAAAAAAGUAUGCUUCAUCAUAAAGCAUUACUAUUGUACUUGCACAAACAGGCACAUAUUGGUCCUAAGGAUGAUUUUAGUCUCUGCUAUUUUAUUAUUAAUCUGUAUUUUGUUGUGUUUUUACUUAGUAAGUUUAAAUUUUCUUUUUCUUUCUUUUUUUUAGUACAGGGGAUUGAACCCAAUGGUGCUUAACCACUGAGCCAUAUUCCCCCAUCCACAGCCCUUUUUAUUUUUUGUUUUGAGACAGGAUCUUGCUAACUUAGGACCUUACUAUGUUGCUGAAGCUAGCCUUGAACUCGUGAUACUCUUGCUUCAGCCUCCCAAAUCUAAGAUUUACAGGCAUGAGCCACCAUGCCUGGCAAAUAAAUUUUUCAAAGUUUCAAAAUAUAAAGAAAAUGCAGAGGUUAUACAUAAGCUAAAAGUCAUUAGACCAGAUGCAAUGAUACAUGUCUGUAAUUUCAGGUACUUAGGAGCCUGAGGCAGGAGAAGCACGAGUUUGAGACCAGUCUAGGCAACAUAAUGAGAACCUGUCUCAAAGUAAAAUAUAAAAUAGAGCAGGGAAUGUAGCUUAGUGGUAAAAUGCCCCUGGGUUCAAUCCCAAGCACCACAAUAAAAAUAUAAAAUAGGCUGGACACAGUGGCACACACCUGUAAUCCCAGUGAUUUGGGAGGCUUGAAGGAUGAUCACAAGUUCAAGGCCAGACUCAACAAUUCAGUGAGACCCUGUCUCAAUAUUUAUAUAUAUGCAUGUGUGUGUGUGUGUGUGUAUUUUUUUAAAAAAUCCUUAGGAAGAAGUCUGAAGGUCAAACAAGGAAUGACAGUGGAUAUUUGGUUCACAAUCUUUUUUUGUUGUUGUUGUUUGUUUUUGUGGUACUGAGGAUUGAACCCAGGGCCUCAUACAUGCUAUGUUUGACUAAAAUCUAACACUUUGACUUUAUCUGAUGAAACUGAAGCUUCAUUGAACCAUAUGACCCAGUAUUUCUAUUUCACAGAAACUUGCUGACACACUUUAGGAAGUUUAAAAAAGGUUUGGGCCGGGCAGGGUGGCACACUCCUGAAAUCCCAGCGGACCCGGAGGCUAAGACAGGAGGAUGGUGAGUUCCAAGCCAGCCUCAGCAAUGGUGAGGCACUAAGCAACUCAGUGAGACCCUGUCUCUAAAUAAAAUACAAAAUAGGGCUGGGAUGUGGCUUGGUGGUCAAGUGCCCCUGAGUUCAAUCCCUAGUACAAAAAAAAAAAAAAAAAGGGUUGGAAUGGUGCUGUUCCUAAGAGCUCACACAAAAGUUAACCCAAAUGUCCAUUUAUGGUAGCAUAAAUAAACAGUAAUGUAAUGCAACUGAAUACACCACAGGCACAUAUGGUAACAUGAGUGAUUUUUAUGAACAUAAGGGGAAGCCAAAGAAAUGGGCACAUAUGCAUAUAUGAUGGCUUAAUAAUUGUGUAGGUGUCAAAAACAGACAGGCUGAAUAAACUAUAAAAACAAACAAGUAAUUAUUCCUGGUUAGCUGAGGGAAUGAUCAGGAAAGGAUGGGCAGGGAGGAGAUGUUGGUUUUCUGAGAUUUAGCAAUGUUCUAUUUCUCCUCUCUUUUAUGAAUUUGUUUUCCAAAUUAAAGACUCAGCUGGGCAUGGUAACGCAUACCUAUGAUCCCAGGGGCUCAGGAGGCUGAGGCAGGAGGAUCAAAGCCAGCCUCAGCAACUUAGCAAGACCUGUCUCAAAAUAAAAGAUAAAAUGGGCUGGGGAUAUUGCUCAGUGGUUAAGCAACCCUGGGUUCAAUCCUCAGUACCAAAAGCAAACAAACAAAAAGCCCAAAUCAAAGACUUAGCAUAGCCCUGCUGACUUGUUCCCUGCUGUGUCCUGCACCUACAAUGCACACACAUUAGGAAAAAAACACAUAAUGUGAGGUCUAUCCUUAUAACCAAUUUUUUGGGGGGAGGGUAAUGAGGAUUCAUACACUCUAAGCACAUGCUUUAUCAUUGAGCCACAACCCCAGCCCACUAUGGACAGAUUUUUAAGUGUACAGUGCAGUAUUGUUAAUUAUAAGCACAAUGUUGUACAAUAAAUCUCUACAACUUUUUCAUCUCGUAUGACUCAAAAUUAUCGUUUUCUGCGUAUGCAUUAGGUUUGUAGUCAUAUGCUACACCUAUGGUUUAUGCAUAUGUCCUUGUGUGAUAUUUCAGUUAUUUUCAAUCUUUAUUGUUUUGGAAAGGAGUUAAUGGGGAUUGAACUCAGGGUUCUCUACCACUAAGUUAUAUCCCCAUCCCUCCUUCUUCUUUUUUUUUUUUUUUUUAUUUUGAGACAGGGUCUUGCUAAGUUUCUGAGUGUCUCAAUAAGUUAUGGAAACCAGCCUCAAACUUGCAAUCCUCCUGCCUCAGCCUCCCCAGUUGCGGGAUUACAGGUGUGUACCACCAUGUCUGGCUCAAAAUUUUGAGGAGGGGAGAGAGAGAGAGAGAGAGAGAGAGAAGCAUGAAUCAAUCUGUGAGGAAAAUUGCAAGUGAAGUGAAUAGAAAAAUUAAUGAUGGGCUGGGGUUGUAGCUCUGAGGUAGAGCGCUUGCCUCAAAUGUAUGAAGCACUGGGUUCAAUCCUUAGCAUCAUAUAAAAAUAAAAUAAAGGUAUUAUGUCCACCUACAACUAAAAAAUAAAUGGGAAAAAAAGUUAAUGAUGAAGUUGAAAUGCACAAACUUCUGAAUGUGUGGCCAGGAAACAAACAGAUAUGCAAGAGACCUCAGUUAAGGCUCGUGGUGAAAGCUGGCAAUUGAAAGUUUAAAGACUAAGCAAGGUACUACUAAAAUUUUGGGCACAAGGCUGGGGUUUUAGCUCAGUGACCGAGCAUUUGCCUAGCAUGAGCAAGGCUGUGGGUUCCAUCACUAGCACAAUAAAUAAAUAAAUAAACAAAAUAUUGGUUUUGAGCUUCUGGUGAUCCCUCAAGUUCAAGGCCAGAAUGUGUGGCAGUGGGUUAAGUAAGACUGCUUUGGGUGUUGAAAUAAUUCUUUGGUAUUUGCUGAGCAGGAAAGAGGAAAGUUUGUUUGUUUGUUUUGUUUUGCAGUACUAAGAAUUUUUAACCCAGGGGCACUCGGCCACAGAGCUAUACCCCAGUCCUUUUAAUUUUUUAAUGUAUCUUAUUUACUAAUUUGCCAAGGCAGGCUGGAACUUGGGAUUCUCCUGUCUCAGUUUCCUGAGUCAACUGGGAUUACAAGUGUGUGCCACUGUGUCCGGCUAGGGAAGGGUUCCAUGUCUUGGCAGAUUUUCACUGUUGAUGAAGCCCGCCUAUUUUGGAGAAGGAUACUUGUUAAUGUAUUUUAACAGGAAACCCAUGGGAAAGACUGUUGUAAAAAUUUGUAGGAAUAGCAUCCCCCCCCACCCCCGUUAGCUUAAGUACAUAACAGGAGGGAAAGCUUACGUCUUUUCUUGUCCCUUUUAUCUUUCCAGAAAAAUGAACUGAUCAAUCUAGAUUUAUACAAACAUUGUGUGGUAGGUAAAUUUCAAAUGGUUCCCAGUGAUCCCUGCUCCAAGUGUCCGGCCCUUGUAUAAUCUCUUUCCCUUGUAUGUGACUUGCUUCUAAAAAAUAAGAGUAUGGCAAAAAGUGAGUAAAAGAGAGUAAAUUUCCCCACUAAGUGACUAAAUCCUUGACAUACAUCUAACUCAGCUUUCUCAGCUUUCAUAUUUUGUGGGGAAGGGAUCCUGGGGAUUGAACCCACGGGGGAAUUUACCACUGAGCUAUAUCAUAUGUCCAGGCCUUCUUACUUUUUGAGACAGGGUCUAAAUUGCUGAAGGUCUCGCUAAAUUGCUGAGGGUGGCCUCAAACUAGCAAUCCUCCUGCCUCGGCCUUCUGAGUCACUGGGAUUACAGGUAUGCACCACCAGGCAAGCUAGGCAGCUUACACUUUCUGACAAAGCAAAUUGCCAUGCAUGAGAGACCCAUGUGCCAAGGAACCGAGGAUGGUUUCUGGCCAAGAGCCGACAAGAAGCUGAAGUCUUCAGCUUCAGGAGCUUACUUCUGCCAACCAACUCUGGAAAAAGACUGUUCCAUAAUAAGCCUUUUCCUUCCUUCCUUUCUCUUUCCCUCCCUUCCUACUGUGGAUCAAAUUCAAAGCCUCACUUAAUGCCAGGCAAGCAUUGUACCACUGAGCUACAACCCUGGAUCUUUUUAAUUUUAUUUUGAGACAGGGUCUUCCUAAGAUGCCCAUGCCGGGCUCAAACUUGGAUCCUCCUGCCUCAGUCUCCUAAGUAGCUGGAAUUAUAGUGCACCACCCUGUCCAGCACAACUGAAUCUUUAAAUGAAACCCAUCCUUGACCAACACUUUGAUUGCAAGUUAAGGGCCCAGUUAAGCUCACUUUGAUUCCUCAUCCACAGAUACUGAGAAAUAAUAAAUAUGUAUUGUCUUAAACUACUAACUUUUUGAAUAAAUUGUUAGACGGUAAUGGAAAACUAACAACAUACAUCCAGGGACCAAAUAUCACCUUUUCUUAGUAAAGACAUAUUUCAACAUUAGUGAGAUUGAUAAAUAACAGCAGGCAAAUUCUUCCUUCUCUCUUCUCCCCUUAGUUUCCUCUGUUUUUGUCUCCUUUUUUUCUUUCUUGGUGCUGUGGAUUGAACCCAGGGCUGCAUUUUUCAGCCCAUUUUCUAUUUUGAGACAGGGUCUCACAAAAUUGCUUAGGGCCUUGCUAAGUUUCUGAGGCUGGCUUUGAACUCAGGAUUAUUCUGCCUCAGCCUCCUGAGUCACUGGAAUUACAGGUAUGUGCCACCCCACUCAGCUUAUAUUUUGUCAUUCUUGAGCUAGACGAAGGAUUAUUUUGAACACUUAGGAAGACUGAACUGUUAUUGAAAUAAUCAGUACUUUCAUUCUCAUUGUCCUUCAAUGGGGAGAAAUUAGGAACUGAAGUCUCUUUAAGGAGAAAACAUGUCUCGUUUUGGGCACUAAUGCAGUAGAGAAUUCGUACAUGUACACACAUUCUGUAACCUUGAAGUUAGUCAUUGACCCAUGAGGAUCUUUUUAUUGAUUUUUUUAAGGGAUCGGGUGUUGAACCCAGGGGUGCUUAACCACUGAGCCACAUCCCCAGUCCCUUUUUUUUUUUUGUAUUUUAUUUAAAUACAGGGCCUCACUGAGUUCUUCAGGGCUCUCUUAACUGCUAAGGCUGGCUUUGAAUUCUCAAUCUUCCCCCCUCAGCCUCCCAAGCCACUAGUAUUACAGGCGUGUGCCACCAUCCCAGUAAGAAUCUUCAGGUGCACUCUACCACUGCCCUUUUUGUUUUCUGAGACAAAAUCUCCCUAAGUUACUCAGUGUUGAGAGCCACAGCCCAAGGGGCCCCAGCAAACUUCCAGCUGCCAGCUGAUGAUUGCCUCACAGCAUCCCCAGCAAACUUCCAGCUGCCAGCUGAUUGGCUCCUCUGCUGUGAUGCUCAUUGGGCUGUUUCCCCACCCUUUCAGACCAUGGAGCUGCUCAUUGGGUGACUUUUUUUGGCUCCACCCAUGCGACCCAGCCAAUCAGCUCCUCAAGAGCAGGAGGAGUGGGGGGGGGGGGUGAGAAGCUUGUGGGAAGCCGUUGGUGGCAGUUGGGCUCUGAGGGAAUUCCUGAAGAGCUGGUGUGGUGUGGCGUGUGUUCUAAAAAUAAAGUUCAUUUCUGCUUGAUAAGUGGCUCAUGAAUUGUGCCCAGCCAGACUGCUGCAACUCAGACUGGCCUUGAACUUGGCAUCCUCCUGACUCAGUCUUCCGCCUCCCAAGUCAGUAGGAUUACAGGCAUGUGCCAGCAUGCCUGUCUCAUGAGGGUUAUCUUUGAAGAGGACACUAUUUAGCACUUCUUUCAGAGAUGAUUUCUUGGCAACAAAUAAGGAAAGUUUUCCAUGCAUUCUGAACUCCGUAUCUCAAAGCUAAAAUCCAUUGGUAUUUCCCAUAGAGUAGGUUCAGGAUUAGACUUGAGUGGGUAGCUAUUGGCAGGUUACUGAGCAAAGACAUGCAUACACAAUGAUACUUGCAUCCACAAUGUCUAGGCCCUGCAGGCACUAAAACACCCAACUUAUUGACCUGUGACUCAUAAACUUGGUACCCAUAAAGAGAUUAUAUAUUUUAUUUAUUUGGUGCUGGGGAUUGUACCUAAGGCUUCAUUCAUGCUAAUCAUGCAUUCUAUCAUUGAGCUAUACCUGCAGCACUUCAGGUUCUUUAUUCAAAGCAUUCAGUUAAAAUUUUACUAUUUGUAGGAAAAAAAAAAGGUCUUCCACAUAAAUUUAAUAGAAUUCAGUCAAGAGAAAGAUUACUCCUCUGAUUUAUGAUCAUCAUGUGUGCUGCCUCCUUUUACUACACUCUCUGCCAUCACUCCCAAAUGAUGUUCUUCCUCAUCUGGGGCCACAAGGAAUGGAGCCUGCUGUCUGUGGAUUGAGAACUCUGAAACUGUGAGCCCCCAACUAAACUUUUCCUCCUUUACUGCUGUUCUGGUCCAGUCCUCUCAUCACAGUGGUGAAAAGGGCACUCACAAUGUGAGAUUGCAUUGAACCUCAGAGAAGACUUUGGAUUUGAACUUUGAACAAACUUGGAAUUGUUGAGACUAUGGAUGAUAUUGCCAGUUAUCAGUGAUGAGUCCUGGAGUCCUGCUUCCCCACAUGUUGAAGUUUGAACAUUAGAAUAGAAUGGCGAGAUCAUCAUGUGAGCUCCUUCCCUGCACUAAACUCUUCUGCCAUGAUGUCCUGCCUCAGUGUGAGCCCCAAGGAAUGGAGCCUGCUGUCUUAUGAACUGAGACCUAUGAAACUGUGAGCCCCCAAAUAAACUUUCCCCCUCUACCAAAAAAAAAAAGAUUACUGAGGUUGCAAAUAUACUUUAAAAAGAAAUGCUGCUGGUUGCAAUAGUGCAUUCCUGUAAUCCCAGUGACGGG